rnacentral:rRNA from 1 species
AUUGAACGCUGGCGGCAGGCCUAACACAUGCAAGUCGAGCGGAGAGGCGGUCGAGGGAGUAAUGCCUAUGAGUCUGCCCGGUAGUGGCGGAUAACGUCCGGAAACGGACCCUAAUCCUGCAUACUAUUAGAUGAGGCUAGGUCGGAUUAGCUAGUGGGUGGGGUAAAGGACUACCAAGGCGACGAUCCGUAACUGGUCUGAGAGGAUGAUCAGUCACACUGGAACUGAGACACGGUCCAGACUCCUACGGGAGGGAGGAGUGGGGAAGAUUGGACAAUGGGCGAAAGCGUGUGCCAGCCAUGCCGCGUGUGUGAAGAAGGCCUUCGGAUUGUAAAGCACUUUAAGUGGGGAGGCGUUUCCAGCAGAAUAAGCACCGGCUAACUCCGUGCCAGCAGCCGCGGUAAUAC